rnacentral:rRNA from 1 species
AUUGAACGCUGGCGGCAGGCCUAACACAUGCAAGUCGAGCGAGCGGCGGACAGUUGAGGCGUACCUGGGUAUUGCCCAGUAGAGGGGGCUGACAGUUGGACAAGACUGCUAAAAGCGCAUAUGAUAGGAGUGCCAAGGUGGGAUUUGCUAGUUGGUGAGGUAAUGGCUCACCAAGGCGCCGAUCCCUAGCUGGUCUGAGAGGAUGGUCGGCCAGAGUGGAACUGAGACACGGUCCAGACUCCUACGGGAGGCAGCAGUGGGGAAUAUUGCACAAUGGGCGAAACCCUGAUGCAGCCAUGCCGCUUGUUUGAAGAAGGCCUUCGGGUUGUAAAUUACUUUCAGCGAGGAGGCGUUACUCGCAGAAGAAGCACCGGCUAACUCCGUGCCAGCAGCCGCGGUAAUUC